GCUCUGCCUAUGUCCCGCAGAACGUGCAAAAGGUCGAAAACCCUAGCCGCCAGCCCUUCUCGUCCACCCCACGCCCUCCGCCUCCCCUCCUCCCCACUCCCUCCCCUCCCACGCCGACGCCCUCAAUACGCCGCCAGGCCGUCGACACGCCGGGAAUAGGCAGCGAUGGAGCGCAGCCCGAGCCCAGCAGAAGUCCACUCCUAAUCCUAACAAGAGCGGGCAGCGGAUUGGAUCGAGGAAGCCCUCGUGGCCACGCCGCCAGCGCCUUGAUUUGCUAGCCGUCAUGUGGAGUCGCCCUAGCCGCCGCCUAUAUCACCGUUGUGGGUCAACCUCACCGCUGCCGCCAGGAAUCCCAUCCCGGCAAGAUUUCAACAGAUUCAUACGACUCUGAAUGUUGUUCUGUAACUGAUGACUCAAAAUGAGCGUACACUGAAACUGAAGCCUUUGGAAGUUGAGACAGAAACCUUACUUGAGAGCAGGCAGAGGCGCAGAGCCAGCGGUAUGCUCUUGGAUCAAUAUUCUACAGGUUAAACAACAUUCAUAUGUUCUAGCAUCUAUAGAUUUACAUUUGCUUUUUAACAGUCUAAUUCUCCAUGUAAAAACUGCAUCCAUUUUGUUAUUGUGAUACUGCAAGUGUAAAUUAAGGAAUUAGCCUUUAUGGUCUAGCUUCGGUAUCUGUAAAUCAUGGUUAUGUACAUACUACAUAAAAAUGGAGCAUCCUUAUGCUACCAAAUUAUUUGUUUGAUCUGGCUUGUAGGUUUCUGAAUACUCUAUUGGAUUCUUCUAAGCUGCUGCUUGUUCAUCGUUUGCUGUUUUGCCUAUCAGGGUUUGUGCUUUCUCUUUAAGCUAUAUUUUCUUUUGAUUAUUGUUUUUGUCUGUAGUUUUUUCUUCACUGUGGCAAUGUAUUUGGAUCAUGCUUCUCUCUGAAGCUUAGCAUAUUGGUUGUCUGGCUUGAUCUUUUUACUAGCAGGAAGGUAACUACUAGAAGCAGUUGGCAAGACAAGCAUUCGAUGGAGCUCAAAGCGUUGAUCCUGAAGGAAGGUAACUACUCAAAGGUAUGCACAUAUUCAUUUUGGAGCAGUUAAGUUUGCAAGGAUUUGCUGCUGGAGGGCAUGGUAUGCGCUCUCAAGAAAUUCUUUGUGAUCCGGUGACAUCUUUUGGCCUAUUGAGGAACUGGACAUGAUUUGUAUAUAGCGAAGUUCAGUGUAUGGAUGACAACUUCCUCUCAUAUCUUUAGUCUGUAUAUUUUAUAUACAUGGCUUUUGUA